rnacentral:sRNA from 1 species
GUCAAUAACCCAUGAUUAAAAUCACGGGCUUGAAAAAGCAAGUGAAGAAAUCAGCUGCGCAAGCAGAUUGUUGACUACCCUAAGUCUUGAGACAGAGACUACGUUGGUUUAAUCAUCACACCUGCGGACGUUUGUCCUAAUCUGCAGCUCUGU